rnacentral:lncRNA from 1 species
AUUUGACUCAACAAGGAGAAAAUCUCCCUCACACUCCAUGUGCAUAUGUGAUACCACGACAUAAGCACUAGCUGAACAGUAACCUGGAACAAGAUCGUCGAGAAGGCCUGCAGUCUUCGCACUAUGCACCAGAAAGAAUCUGCUAGUUGUGCAGAAGUCUUUCCUAAGUAUUUGUGGCUUCUCUCCAGUGUGGGGAGGGUUCCAGUGUGAGAGCCUAAGUCAGGUAAAUUCCAGUCCUGGGAAAAUUUCUCUGAGUGCUUAAGCUGUUGGAAAAGUGUUGUGCGUUAAAUAGGCCUUGGGACUAGCAGAAACAAUGCCUUAUAUGAUCUGCCCACCCCAUUAUUCUUUGUUUU